UACAGAGGUCUCAAGCGUUGUCCGGAUUUAUUGGGUUUAAAGGGUGCGUAGGCGGCUUUGUAAGUCAGUGGUGAAAUAUGGCAGCUUAACUGUCAGGGUGCCAUUGAUACUGCGGAGCUUGAGUACAGAUGAGGUAGGCGGAAUUGACGGUGUAGCGGUGAAAUGCUUAGAUAUCGUCAAGAACACCUAUAGCGAAGGCAGCUUACUAGGCUGUAACUGACGCUGAGGCACGAAAGUGUGGGGAUCAAACAGG
rnacentral:rRNA from 1 species